rnacentral:tRNA from 1 species
GCGUCGUGCUGGUGGUCGCGCAUCUCGUGCUGAGCUUCCGGCUCAACGAUGCCUCGGACGCGGUGUUCCAGGCGCUGCACGGCGUAC